rnacentral:rRNA from 1 species
UACAGAGGGUGCGAGCGUUAAUCGGAAUUACUGGGCGUAAAGCGUGCGUAGACGGUUAUUUAAGUCGGGUGUGAAAGCCCCGGGCUCAACCUGGAGACGCCACUCGAUACUGGCGUGACUAGAGUUCGGUAGGGGACCACGGAAUUCCUGGUGUAGCGGUGAAAUGCGCAGAUAUCAGGAGGAACACCAGUGGCGAAGGCGGUGGUCUGGGCCGAUACUGACGCUGUAGAGCGAAAGCGUGGGGAGCGAACAGG